rnacentral:sRNA from 1 species
AUGUGCCACGCGGACACUGCGGUUGCUGCGCGCCGUCCACGCGCACCUGACAACGGCUCGCUAUGUGUUGGUCGCC